rnacentral:rRNA from 1 species
CAGCAGCCGCGGUAAUACGUAGGGUGCGAGCGUUAAUCGGAAUUACUGGGCGUAAAGCGUGCGCAGGCGGUUAUGUAAGACAGUUGUGAAAUCCCCGGGCUCAACCUGGGAACUGCAUCUGUGACUGCAUAGCUAGAGUACGGUAGAGGGGGAUGGAAUUCCGCGUGUAGCAGUGAGAUGCGUAGAUAUGCGGAGGAACACCGAUGGCGAAGGCAAUCCCCUGGACCUGUACUGACGCUCAUGCACGAAAGCGUGGUGAGCAAACAGGAUUAGAUACCCGAGUAGUCCCUGUCUCUUAUAC